rnacentral:rRNA from 1 species
CCCUUAGAUGUUCUGGGCCGCACGCGCGCUACACUGACGAAUGCAACGAGCUUAUAACCUUGGCCGAAAGGUCUGGGUAAUCUCCAAAUUUCGUCGUGAUGGGGAUAGAUUAUUGCAAUUAUUAAUCUUCAACGAGGAAUGCCUAGUAAGCGCAAGUCAUCAGCUUGCGGUGAUUACGUCCCUGCCCUUUGUACACACCGCCCGUCGCUCCUACCGAUUGAAUGGUCCGGUGAAGCGUUCGGACCGUGGCCUUUGGACGGUUCGCCGUCUGUUGGCUGCGGGAAGUUCGUUAAACCUUAUCAUUUAGAGGAAGGAGAAGUCGUAACA